UGCAUGGACUUGGAGCAGGGGAGAGGAAAUUAGAUAUAUGAGUAAGCCAGCAGAGACUAGUAACACAUCAGUAAAGCAGAUAAAGAAGAUCAAUUUUUUAUAAGGAGUAAAAAGAAAGGAGAGAGAAAAAUGUUCUCCAGGCGUCCUCUGUCCUUUCCAGCCACGGAUCGUCUCACCAGCUGUGUUUAAUUUGCCAAUUCCGGGUGGAUGUUAUUUGGUUUAGUUGUUUCUUCUAUCUGCUCCAUCAGAAGGUGCAGGACACAUCUGCCUAUCUGGACGCCAUUUUGCCUCCCCCAGUUAUACUGAAUUUUGUUGUUGCUGCUGUUUUCCUGGAUUCGGUUGAACUGAGUGUCCUGCACUUUUAUCAACUCAAAGCCUGGCAACCAUGCUCGGAGAGCUGGCUCGUGCCUCAGCUGUGUGCACUCGGGGCACCGUGGUGUGUGGCCGAGGCCUCCCCUGGCGUUAGUGGCAAAGGGGAACCAGAGGCUGAUUGCCAGCACUGUGCUGCUUCUGUGCCCGCGCAGUACCCCCUCCCUGUUUCGAACCCUGGAACUUCUGACAGGAUGGCCAGAGUUGGGAAAGGAAGGGAUGGGGAGGUGGGGGCUCACACUCAGGGAUGGGCAGAUCGCUCCUGUGUUACAGUUUUAUUUCCCACUGUAGGUGCUGACCCCCUAUGCUGUUUCAACCCCAAUGACAAAGAACCUCAACACCAGCCUGAUAACCAAGACUGCCGAUGAGUUUGUUAAAGAAUCACUCAAUUACGUCACAUUUGGCGAUGAAACCUGCGGCUGCCUCGUCCACGAAAUCCUGGCAAGCUUUCUGAGCCUGAUCCCAUCUUGGGUCAUCUACAGCAGCUUGGUCAAGAAGCUACUCCUGACUCAUUAUGCCAACUACCUCAAGAGGAAUGCCAACAUCAGAUAGUCUGGGGGCCUGAUGGCCAUCCAGCAUCAUUUUCUUCACCAGGUUCUGCACUGACUGCAGAGGACCAAGGAGCAGACCGUCACCCAUCACCCCCUGAAGCUGGAGGUCCAUGCCACAGACAUAGUCCCUAGAAUACAAUUUGUGUGCCAAUUAGCUCAUGUUAAAAUCAAGGCCAAAUGGAGACAGGCCUUGAAAAUUCCCUGAGCAGAUAAAGCCAGCUUAUUCAUACAAGCAAAACUUAGUUUAGCUUAUUUUGUAAGACUAAAGAUGGACUCAGGGCAGGCCGCCCUCAAAUAUGUCACUUUGGCAUAUCUAUGAUUUUGAAUUAAAAUUACUUAAACAGCACGAGUA